rnacentral:rRNA from 1 species
UACGUAGGCAGCGAGCGUUGUUCGGAGUUACUGGGCGUAAAGAGUGCGUAGGCGGUUUUCUAAGUUUGGUGUGAAAUCUCCCGGCUUAACUGGGAGGGUGCGCCGAAGACUGGAAGGCUUGAGUAUGGGAGAGGUAAGCGGAAUUCCUGGUGUAGCGGUGAAAUGCGCAGAUAUCAGGAGGAACACCAAUUGCGAAGGCAGCUCGCUGGGACGUUACUGACGCUGAGACGCGAAAGCGUGGGGAGCGAACAGG